UACGGAGGGGGCUAGCGUUGCUCGGAAUUACUGGGCGUAAAGCGUACGUAGGCGGCUUUGUAAGUUAGAGGUGAAAGCCCGGGGCUUAACCCCGGAAUUGCCUUUAAGACUGCAUCGCUUGAAUCAUGGAGAGGUGAGUGGAAUUCCGAGUGUAGAGGUGAAAUUCGUAGAUAUUCGGAAGAAAACCAGUGGCGAAGGCGACUCACUGGACAUGUAUUGACGCUGAGGUACGAAAGCGUGGGGAGCAAACAGG
rnacentral:rRNA from 1 species